rnacentral:sRNA from 1 species
UUCAUCUGGUUUAACUCUCACAAUUGUA